rnacentral:piRNA from 1 species
UACGUCUCUAGCCAUACAUUG